rnacentral:antisense_RNA from 1 species
UGUGGGAGCGGGCUUGCUCGCGAUGCAAGCGACUCGGUCUAUCUGUUACACCUUGUCGAUCCAAUCGCGAGCAAGCCCGCUCCCACA